CCUACGGGUGGCAGCAGUAGGGAAUUUUCGGCAAUGGGCGGAACCCUGACCCAGCAACGCCGCGUGAACGAAGAAGUUAUUCGGAAUGUAAAGUUCUUUUAACAGGGAAGAAAGAGAAAUUUGACGGUACCUGAAGAAUAAGCUCCGGCAAACUACGUGCCAACAGCCGGGGUAAUACGUGGGGAGCGGGCGUUAUCCGGAAUUAUUGGGCGUAAAGGGUGCGUAGAGGGCAUAGUAAGUCUUUUGGAAAAAUGCUGGGCUAAACCCAGUAGGGCAAAAGAUACUGCAAAGCUAGAGGAUGAUAGAGGCGAGUGGAACUACAGGUGUAGCGGUAAAAUGCGUAAAUAUAUGGAAGAACACCAGUGGCGAAGGCGGCUUGCUGGGUCGAGACUGACAUUGAGGCACGAAAGCGUGGGGAGCAAACAGGAUUAGAUACCCGAGUAGUC
rnacentral:rRNA from 1 species